rnacentral:rRNA from 1 species
AUUGAACGCUGGCGGCAGGCCUAACACAUGCAAGUCGAACGAGUGGCGGACGGGUGAGUAAUGUCUGGGAAACUGCCCGAGGGAGGGGGAUAAAUACUGGAAACGGUAGCUAAUACCGCAUACCAUUGGAUGUGCCCCGAUGGGAUUAGCGAGUAGGUGGGGUAACGGCUCACCUGGGCGACGAUCCCUAGCUGGGCUGAGAGGAUGACCAGCCACACUGGAACUGAGACACGGUCCAGACUCCUACGGGAGGCAGCAGUGGGGAAUAUUGCACAAUGAGCGCAAGCCUGAUGCAGCCAUGCCGCGUGUAUGAAGAAGGCCAUCGGGUUGUAAAGUACUUUCAGCGAGGAGGCGUUACUCGCAGAAGAAGCACCGGCUAACUCCGUGCCAGCAGCCGCGGUAAUAC